rnacentral:tRNA from 1 species
GUUUUAAUAAUUUAAUUAUAAAAUAUUGGUCUUGUAAACCAAAAAUAAGUUCAUCUUUUAAAACU